rnacentral:rRNA from 1 species
UACGUAGGGUCCGAGCGUUGUCCGGAAUUACUGGGCGUAAAGAGCUCGUAGGUGGUUUGUCGCGUUGUUCGUGAAAACUCACAGCUCAACUGUGGGCGUGCGGGCGAUACGGGCAGACUUGAGUACUGCAGGGGAGACUGGAAUUCCUGGUGUAGCGGUGGAAUGCGCAGAUAUCAGGAGGAACACCGGUGGCGAAGGCGGGUCUCUGGGCAGUAACUGACGCUGAGGAGCGAAAGCGUGGGGAGCGAACAGU